UACGUAGGGGGCGAGCGUUGUCCGGAGUUACUGGGCGUAAAGCGCUUGUAGGCGGUCCACCAAGUUUGGGGUGACAGUUGCCGACUUAAUCGGCAAAGUGCCUCAAAGACUGGCGGACUUGAGGGCCACAGAGGGACAUGGAACUCCAGGUGUAGUGGUGAAAUGCGCAGAUAUCAGGAGGAACACCGGUGGCGAAGGCGGGUCUCUGGGCCGUAACUGACGCUGAGGAGCGAAAGCGUGGGGAGCGAACAGG
rnacentral:rRNA from 1 species